rnacentral:lncRNA from 1 species
AGAUGUAGUUCAUAUGAGCAUGAAUAUUGGAGCUAAAAUUUGGUGCCAUGCUUUUGGGAAAAUUCGGCCAAAUACAUAGGGUGAUUUUUUGGGUUCUUGUUUGACUUGUUAAAAGUGUUUUAAAGUGACUUUUGGAACCCCUAUGUACCCUAGUUUGGUUAGAUGUUAUUUCCCUUAAGUUUGAAUGGUUUUGGAAUGUUUUUGGGUGAAAAAUGUUCAUGGAAAAAUUUUGAGUUUUACAUGAAUGUUCUUCAUUGUUCUUGACAUUUUUGCAAAGAACAAAAAGUUUUGUGUUUUGAUUCAAAGUUUUGAUUUAUAUCAUAAAGUUUAUGUUUUAUGUUUUUUCAAAUGUUUAAUUGUUUUAGAUAUUUGUUUAAUUGGUGUAAGAGAUGUAAGAGAUAUUAUGGUGGGUGUGUAAGGAUUAAUUUCCUUUCACACACACCACUUGCACCACUUGCAUGUUUUAUGUCAAAACUCACAAAUCAACACACACAUCACUCACAUCCCCUCUCCAAAACCGGCCACCCUACAUGUAGGGUACUUUUGGGGCUUUUAUGCAAUUACAUAAAGUUUUGAUACUUUUGUGUAUUUGCACUUUGGCCCAAAAGUUUACGUUUUUACGUUUAGGUCCAAAAACGCUAAAGGACAAAUUGUUUUGUUCCUUUAAUGAAGUUUUUACAUUAUUAAAAGUUUGGGUUCUAGUGUAAUUUCAUGAAGUAGUGGACUUUUGUGAUUUUACAAAGUGACCCCAAAAGUUUUUUGUUUUUGCAAUAUAGCCCAAAAGUUGAGGUUAAUUGCAAGAUAGCCCAAAUAAGUUGUGGUUAUUGCAUAUUGGCCCAAAUUAGAUAGAGAGCAAAAUUGUUUUGUCUCUUUAAAUGAGAAUUGGAUUUUCAUUUCAUUUAGCUCCAUUUAAAUCAAUUUU